AGUGAGUAGGCUAUAUACUUGAAGGUAUAGUAUUUCAAUACUUAAGAAUGUAUAGUUCAAUCAAAUGCUUUAAGAAUAUAGGCAGCUAACCCAUCCUGCCAUUUAAAAAAUGUCCUACUAAAAUUUUCAUUCCCACAUUUUGGUACCCUAAAUAAUUUUAGGAAGAAACAUCUGACUGACUUCCGUCAGAAGUUGGACAGGAUUUUAGCUUGUGCUCUGAGUGCUCAGACUUGCUGUGUGCCCUUCACACUGUUGGAAAGAAGGAAAAGGCCAUUCAGUGGAGAGCUGACAAAACUUCCAGGAGAAUCGGACUUCGGUGAUGCACUCGUCCAUUUCGUUUGACUACGGUACCCACAGCAGCUAGGACAGGAUCUGGCGCUUAAACUUCAACACGUGAGUCUGAAUGAACAAGUGGAGUCUCUUUCUUGACUUAGGACUCUGUUAAAUUUUUUUUUUUUUUUUCUGCUGGUAUAUUCCCACUGCUAUAACCUAGGUUCCUCUCUUGCUACACUGCAUGUUUCUUAGCUGAUUCUGUGAUUUGCUAGGGUGGUGGAAAGAUCUUCAGAAGUUAAUUUUUCCUGUUCAUUUAAAAAAUAAUCAUAUUUUACAGUAGGACUGUUUAUUGAAGAAAGUUUUGAAAAUAUACCAAAAUACAUGUGAGAAAAUAAAUAUCCCCGUGAUUCCA
rnacentral:lncRNA from 1 species